AACAACGAGGAAAGAUUGGUUAAGUUGUUAACAGAAGAUGGGAUUGGACCAAUAAACCAAUUGUUUGAGAGAUCCAAAUAUUUUAAAUCCUUCAACCUCUCAAUUUCAUGGGGGAUGAAACUAUUAAUUUGAUUAUGGUGGAGGUAGAGAGAUUCCAGUUUUGUUAACUGACCCAAAGAGGAAGGGAUUUGACCCGAAAGUCUAUUGGAGGAUAGAUCCAAUUCAACCAAAUUCGUUAGUCCCCCAAUAUCUUCUGGAAUGGAUCCAUUAAGUUGGUUGCUUUGAAGGAACAACGAGGAAAGAUUAGUUAAGUUGCUGACAGAAGAUGGGAUUGGACCAACAAACCAAUUGUUUGAGAGAUCCAAAUAUUUUAAAUCCUUCAACCUCUCAAUUUCAUGGGGGAUGAAACCAUUAAUUUGAUUAUGGUAGAGGUAGAGAGAUUCCAGUUUUGUUAACUGACCCAAAGAGGAAGGGAUGUGACCUGAAAGUCUAUUGGAGGAUAGAUCCAAUUCAACCAAAUUCGUUAGUCCCCCAAUAUCUUCUGGAAUGGAUCCAUUAAGUUGGUUGCUUUGAAGG
rnacentral:lncRNA from 1 species